GGGUUGUGAGGUUAAGCGACUAAGCGUACACGGUGGAUGCCCUGGCAGUCAGAGGCGAUGAAGGACGUGCUAAUCUGCGAUAAGCGUCGGUAAGGUGAUAUGAACCGUUAUAACCGGCGAUUUCCGAAUGGGGAAACCCAGUGUGAUUCGUCACACUAUCAUUAACUGAAUCCAUAGGUUAAUGAGGCGAACCGGGGGAACUGAAACAUCUAAGUACCCCGAGGAAAAGAAAUCAACCGAGAUUCCCCCAGUAGCGGCGAGCGAACGGGGAGCAGCCCAGAGCCUGAAUCAGUGUGUGUGUUAGUGGAAGCGUCUGGAAAGGCGCGCGAUACAGGGUGACAGCCCCGUACACAAAAAUGCACAUGCUGUGAGCUCGAUGAGUAGGGCGGGACACGUGGUAUCCUGUCUGAAUAUGGGGGGACCAUCCUCCAAGGCUAAAUACUCCUGACUGACCGAUAGUGAACCAGUACCGUGAGGGAAAGGCGAAAAGAACCCCGGCGAGGGGAGUGAAAAAGAACCUGAAACCGUGUACGUACAAGCAGUGGGAGCACGCUUAGGCGUGUGACUGCGUACCUUUUGUAUAAUGGGUCAGCGACUUAUAUUCUGUAGCAAGGUUAACCGAAUAGGGGAGCCGAAGGGAAACCGAGUCUUAACUGGGCGUUAAGUUGCAGGGUAUAGACCCGAAACCCGGUGAUCUAGCCAUGGGCAGGUUGAAGGUUGGGUAACACUAACUGGAGGACCGAACCGACUAAUGUUGAAAAAUUAGCGGAUGACUUGUGGCUGGGGGUGAAAGGCCAAUCAAACCGGGAGAUAGCUGGUUCUCCCCGAAAGCUAUUUAGGUAGCGCCUCGUGAAUUCAUCUCCGGGGGUAGAGCACUGUUUCGGCAAGGGGGUCAUCCCGACUUACCAACCCGAUGCAAACUGCGAAUACCGGAGAAUGUUAUCACGGGAGACACACGGCGGGUGCUAACGUCCGUCGUGAAGAGGGAAACAACCCAGACCGCCAGCUAAGGUCCCAAAGUCAUGGUUAAGUGGGAAACGAUGUGGGAAGGCCCAGACAGCCAGGAUGUUGGCUUAGAAGCAGCCAUCAUUUAAAGAAAGCGUAAUAGCUCACUGGUCGAGUCGGCCUGCGCGGAAGAUGUAACGGGGCUAAACCAUGCACCGAAGCUGCGGCAGCGACGCUUAUGCGUUGUUGGGUAGGGGAGCGUUCUGUAAGCCUGUGAAGGUGUACUGUGAGGUAUGCUGGAGGUAUCAGAAGUGCGAAUGCUGACAUAAGUAACGAUAAAGCGGGUGAAAAGCCCGCUCGCCGGAAGACCAAGGGUUCCUGUCCAACGUUAAUCGGGGCAGGGUGAGUCGACCCCUAAGGCGAGGCCGAAAGGCGUAGUCGAUGGGAAACAGGUUAAUAUUCCUGUACUUGGUGUUACUGCGAAGGGGGGACGGAGAAGGCUAUGUUGGCCGGGCGACGGUUGUCCCGGUUUAAGCGUGUAGGCUGGUUUUCCAGGCAAAUCCGGAAAAUCAAGGCUGAGGCGUGAUGACGAGGCACUACGGUGCUGAAGCAACAAAUGCCCUGCUUCCAGGAAAAGCCUCUAAGCAUCAGGUAACAUCAAAUCGUACCCCAAACCGACACAGGUGGUCAGGUAGAGAAUACCAAGGCGCUUGAGAGAACUCGGGUGAAGGAACUAGGCAAAAUGGUGCCGUAACUUCGGGAGAAGGCACGCUGAUAUGUAGGUGAAGUCCCUCGCGGAUGGAGCUGAAAUCAGUCGAAGAUACCAGCUGGCUGCAACUGUUUAUUAAAAACACAGCACUGUGCAAACACGAAAGUGGACGUAUACGGUGUGACGCCUGCCCGGUGCCGGAAGGUUAAUUGAUGGGGUUAGCGCAAGCGAAGCUCUUGAUCGAAGCCCCGGUAAACGGCGGCCGUAACUAUAACGGUCCUAAGGUAGCGAAAUUCCUUGUCGGGUAAGUUCCGACCUGCACGAAUGGCGUAAUGAUGGCCAGGCUGUCUCCACCCGAGACUCAGUGAAAUUGAACUCGCUGUGAAGAUGCAGUGUACCCGCGGCAAGACGGAAAGACCCCGUGAACCUUUACUAUAGCUUGACACUGAACAUUGAGCCUUGAUGUGUAGGAUAGGUGGGAGGCUUUGAAGUGUGGACGCCAGUCUGCAUGGAGCCGACCUUGAAAUACCACCCUUUAAUGUUUGAUGUUCUAACGUUGACCCGUAAUCCGGGUUGCGGACAGUGUCUGGUGGGUAGUUUGACUGGGGCGGUCUCCUCCUAAAGAGUAACGGAGGAGCACGAAGGUUGGCUAAUCCUGGUCGGACAUCAGGAGGUUAGUGCAAUGGCAUAAGCCAGCUUGACUGCGAGCGUGACGGCGCGAGCAGGUGCGAAAGCAGGUCAUAGUGAUCCGGUGGUUCUGAAUGGAAGGGCCAUCGCUCAACGGAUAAAAGGUACUCCGGGGAUAACAGGCUGAUACCGCCCAAGAGUUCAUAUCGACGGCGGUGUUUGGCACCUCGAUGUCGGCUCAUCACAUCCUGGGGCUGAAGUAGGUCCCAAGGGUAUGGCUGUUCGCCAUUUAAAGUGGUACGCGAGCUGGGUUUAGAACGUCGUGAGACAGUUCGGUCCCUAUCUGCCGUGGGCGCUGGAGAACUGAGGGGGGCUGCUCCUAGUACGAGAGGACCGGAGUGGACGCAUCACUGGUGUUCGGGUUGUCAUGCCAAUGGCACUGCCCGGUAGCUAAAUGCGGAAGAGAUAAGUGCUGAAAGCAUCUAAGCACGAAACUUGCCCCGAGAUGAGUUCUCCCUGACUCCUUGAGAGUCCUGAAGGAACGUUGAAGACGACGACGUUGAUAGGCCGGGUGUGUAAGCGCAGCGAUGCGUUGAGCUAACCGGUACUAAUGAACCGUGAGGCUUAACCUUACAACGCCGAAG
rnacentral:rRNA from 2 species